UAUAAGAGGCAAGACCUGGCUCGUAUGAGGAGGAGGGGAGCUGAGACCAGAGGCAGUUGCUGACAGGCAUCUAAGAUAGUAGGAGUUCCCUACCAACAGGGAAGGAUGAGGAAACUCCUGGCCAGAAGAGAGAGAACCUGAAUGCCAGAGCAGCAUUGGUCACUGUGGUAGGAGAGAAAACCUGGAUAAUAUAUGGAAUCUACUGCAGGAAGACUGGGGAACUGCAUAAACCAGUCAGACUCAUUUCUGGAGCUCUGUUUGAAGUCUUGGGAUCUCCUCAGUAAAGGACCUUUGGAAUGAAUGAAAGACACGUGACCUUACCAGAGAGAGAGACUCACAGAAAAGUCAGGCUGGCAGAAGCUGUAAGACUCAGUAAUCUACGUCACUGGAUCUAGGACUAUACACUGUAUGCAUGCCUGGCAGUGGUUCUCAACCUUUUCGGACUCAAGACUCCCCUAAGAGAACUCCAGCUCUUAAUUUUCACUCUUUUUUUUGACUACAGAAAAAUAAUCCAGCAAUUCUUCUUUUGCAAAGAACUUGGAAGGACUCCAAUAGGUCAGAAUGUUUUUAGCACUAUGAAUUCCUAUUUGAAAUAUCUUGGUUUACCUUGUAAAUGAUGUUUGCACACCAGCAGUGCUAACAUUGUGUGGCACCCCGUGGUGCCCUUGGAAGGAUCUCAAGGCACCACAGGGUCCUGUGGCACUUUGGUUGAGUAUCACUGGUCUAUGGUAUUUACAUUUAACUCACUUUUAAUUAACCUUAUUUCUCUUUUAUUCUCUGUGUGGCUUUACUCACUGUUUACCUCCAACCUACCACUAGAGGGAACCAUGAUAAAGUAUCUUAAUGAAAUGGUAUGAUGCUGACAAUCCCCCUUUCUGUCUAUUCUUUGAGCAUUCCAUGUGCUAUUG